UAUAGCCAUUAUAUAUACACACAAUAUUCACCAAGUGAAAUACACUCAAACUUGAAGGCUCUAAGAAGAGAGAAAAACAUCCAACUUAUUAAUCUUGAGCUUGCAGGAUUGAGCAAAAUGGGAGCAGGUGGCAAUAUGAGUUCUCCAGCAACUAAAAAUGGA